rnacentral:rRNA from 1 species
GACGAACGCUGGCGGCGUGCCUAAUACAUGCAAGUCGAACGAACCGCGACUAAGUGCUUGCACUAAGUCAAGGUGAGUGGCGAACGGGUGAGUAACACGUGGGUAACCUACCUCAUAGUGGGGGAUAACAGUCGGAAACGACUGCUAAUACCGCAUAGGACAUAGGAUCACAUGAUCCAGUGAGGAAAGGUGGCGCAAGCUAUCGCUAAGAGAUGGACCCGCGGUGCAUUAGCUAGUUAGUAGGGUAAAGGCCUACCAAGGCGAUGAUGCAUAGCCGACCUGAGAGGGUGAUCGGCCACAUUGGGACUGAGACACGGCCCAAACUCCUACGGGAGGCAGCAGUAGGGAAUCUUCCGCAAUGGACGCAAGUCUGACGGAGCAACGCCGCGUGAGUGAAGAAGGUCUUCGGAUCGUAAAGCUCUGUUGUUAGAGAAGAACAGCGCAUAGAGUAACUGCUAUGCGUGUGACGGUAUCUAACCAGAAAGCCACGGCUAACUACGU